rnacentral:tRNA from 1 species
GAGGAUGUAGCUCAGUAGUAGAGCAUGUGCUUAGCAUGCACAAGGUCUUGAGUUCAAUCCCCAGUACCUCCA